GACCAGUUGGUGAUUAUGGACCCUUAUCAACUUUCCCAAGCGCGGCUGCACACGAACCUUCAACAUUGAUGUCCACACGCUACGCCUUUAUGACGCCCUACGAUUCUGCGAUGGUCGUACGAUGGUCGUACGAUGCUACCAACCAAUGGCAAACAAACUGCAACGUCACGUAGCACCGCCGUUCAAAUCCAACCUACUAGUGCCACCAUCAAAUAUUUUCAGAGGUAUUUGGCCUAGGCGUUGGAUAUGAUUAUUGCACACGCCUUUCAUCCAGAAAGGAGGAUGUCAUGUCGGCAAAGGUGAUCCAUCGGGUAAACCGGUUUACAAUGAGGAUUCGCUCUUGCCCCGGGUCUGCAUCAACCUUGAAGCUCCCUAUUAUUAUUUUCUUUUAUUUCAGGUAAGCUUAAUGUCAAGUAAUGCUAGUAGUGUUGUUGACAGGCAGGGCGAGCGAGUGACUUUGUUAUAUAAACCUUUUGCAUUGUAGCAAGAACCCAAGGACAUAAUUUUAACGACUGUCAGCACAAGUCAUCCUUCAGACCCUGAAUGUGCUGGCCUUUGAUCGCGUUGUUAUUAUGAGCUUUAAAAUACUUAAAAAUUUUGUUUUCCUUCCUGCUACAUUGCGAAUUCUGAACAAGCAUUUUAUGCAAUAGGACGUGAUACAAAGUGUAUCAUUGUAGCCAUAUCAGCCUCAAGAAGUCUCUUUAAUUUCUGACAAGCGGAAAUGUCGACUAAGUAGUACGUACAUCAUAACGUAUGAUACAUUGUUUGGUCCCUAAUUUGGUAGGUAAAGCAUUGGCGUUAUUAAUAUUAAUUUCUUUUUCAUUUCCUCAAAAUUCAGG